CAGCAGCCGCGGGAAUACAGAGGGUGCGAGCGUUAAUCGGAUUUACUGGGCGUAAAGCGUGCGUAGGCGGCUUUUUAAGUCGGAUGUGAAAUCCCUGAGCUUAACUUAGGAAUUGCAUUCGAUACUGGGAAGCUAGAGUAUGGGAGAGGAUGGUAGAAUUCCAGGUGUAGCGGUGAAAUGCGUAGAGAUCUGGAGGAAUACCGAUGGCGAAGGCAGCCAUCUGGCCUAAUACUGACGCUGAGGUACGAAAGCAUGGGGAGCAAACAGGAUUAGAUACCCCGGUAGUCCCUGUCUCUUAUAU
rnacentral:rRNA from 1 species